CCUUUUUUCCAAUUAUUUUUUAUGUCCCACUUUCUCUCUCCUCUCCUGCUGAACCUCCAGUUAUAUAUAUAUUAGGCCUUUCCACCAUAUUUAAUAUGUCUUUCACAAUCUGAUAUUUAUUUUCCAUCUAAAAGCCUCUAAAUGCUUUAUUGUUGAUAUUUUCUUCUGCUCUAUCUUCUAGUUCACUGACUCUCUCCUCAAUUGUAACUACUCUAUUGAACCAAUUCAUUUGGUUUUUUUAAAGUUUAACUUUUAAAGUACAAUGUACACACCAUAAAAUUCACCCAUUGUAAGUGUAUAUUCAAUGGUUUUAGUAAUUAAUUCAUUUAUGCAACCAUAACCAUCACCACAAUCCAAUCUUAGAGCAUUUCCAUCACCCAAAAAAAUUCACUCAUUUAGAUUUUAACUGCAGUAAUUGUGUAUUUCAGUUCCAGAAGGUCUAUUUGGUCUUAUGUACAAUUUUCAGUUCUCUGGCAGAGUUUUCAAUCUUAUCUUUUAAUUCUUGAAACAUAUUAAUCACAGUUAUGGUAGGGACCAUAUCUGAUUAAUCCAUUAUCUGGACCUCUUGUAGGUAUAUCCAAUCUGUUUAUUUUUUUAUUGGUUUUUUAUAUCUGGUCUUCUCUUGUGUCUAUUAUUUCUACUGACUGACAGAUAUAGUACAUGAAAAACUACAGUGAUAACAUGAGUUUCUGGGAAAAGCAUCUUCCUCCAAAGAGAAUUUUUACUCUAGUUUCAGGCAGGCAUCUAGGCUAGGGGCACUAAUCUGAAAUUAUUUGGGUUUUGGCUUCAGUACCUAUGUCGUUUUUCUGAUUCACCUAGACUUAGGGUUCUCAAUGAAAGCCUAGGUUGUUCACUAGGGCUUCUGCUCCUUCACAGGACCUAAAUACAAUUACCACACCCUCAACCCCAUGAACUUGUUGAAAGCUAUGCUAAGUUUCUUAAUCUCUUAGCCUCUACUUUCUGAACUGAAAUUUUUCUCAAAAAGAUAAAACUCGAAAGCAGAGUUCAUCUCUCUUGAGUUUUCCACCACUCCUUACUCACCCCACCAACCCAGAUCUUGGUUCUGCAAUUCCCCAUUGCCCUGAUGGCUCUCCAAUUUUUCCAAACUGGUAUUUUUUUUCUUUUUAAUGUUGAGCAGCUUUUCUCAGCAGAAGAGUUAAUUAGAACAAACCUGAUCUACUAUUGCUAAAUGUAUGCACUACCGCUGUAAGUCAGGUGACCAUAAUUUAUCAAACCAGGAUGUUCUUGAAAAUGAAAGCAGACACUACUAGUGAUUACAGGGGGGCAGUAAGCAUAAAACAAAACUAUCACAAACAUGUCAGACUGUAUGGUCAUCCCAAUAAUUAUGCAUGGAGUGAAUGAAUUCUCUUAACAAUCCAGAGGGAUCAGAAAGGGCUCAUUUCAACUCAACAUUUCAGAAGAAACAAUUGAGACAGAUUAAUCUGAUGCCCCAUGGAAAUGCCAGCUGUUUGUAGGGUCCCUUCUAAUCUCCUUUAGGGAUUUAGCUUUUUCUCCAAAUUUUCAUUUUGGCAAAUAAAACAUAAAUUUUCUCCAAAUUUUUAUUUUGCCUAAACAAAAAUAAUUUUAAAAUCACAUUGGCCACAUCAAGUAUAUGGAGGUCUCGUCUCUUCCCUUUAUGAUGACUGAAUUAUUUGGUUUUAAGGAUAGAAGUAAACCCUUACUCAUUGUGGGAAGAGACUACUCAGUGGCUCACUGCAUUAACAGAGGAAGUGAACUAUUACAGCCUGCCAGUUCCUGGACCCUAUAUACUAUUAAUGCCCUUAGCUGAGACUUGGUGCAUUCGUGUAGUUUUGGGAACUCCUUCAAGUAAGAGAGAAAUUUUUCUGGAAAAAAAGAGAAACCUUAGACUUGAAAAGAAAGUGAGUACAAUUCGCAAGAAGAGCACUGCACCAUAUUCCCUUUUCUGUUUUAUUAGAAAUGCUGUAUUUUGCUCUGAUUUAGCAGAAAUUCUACCCCUUAUUAUUCCAUGAAGGAAACAAUAUAAUAAGUAAAGGGUUUGCUCUGUCUUGGCUUCUGAGAGAGCUAGAUUUACCUCCUGGGUCAUCUUAAGUGAACUCCUUUAGGCUGGAGAGCUGUUCUCUGACUAAUGCCAGAGCCAAGCCCAGGGAGACGCUCAAUCAAAUAAAAUCGCGUUGAUGCCUAAUUAUAAACUCACCAUGUCUUGUAUUUUGCAGCCUGACCCUUCCUGGAAUUUUGACGAUGCUAUUCAGGAUACCACUUCCUAUUCUUAAUCUGCAUAUUUUAGAUGACUUGAUUCAAAACAAUGUUUUGGAUACAAACAUUCCAACAUUUUUCCAAAACACAGGCUUUAUCAGCAUAUAAAGUAAUUUGCCACAUGCAUUGUGUUUGCAUCCUAGCAAGUGGAUAAUAGAUUAGAGUUACUAAAAUGUCACUGUGUUUUGCCAUUCAUAGUACACUGCGGUGAGAAAGAAAAGUACUCAGUGAAAGGAAAACAAAAUACGAUUCCACAAUUUAACUUAGGUCCAUAUGCCAUUGUCAUUUAUUAAGACCAAUAAUAACAGAAAAUAAAAAUAAGGCAUUGAAAACACUGAGCCUAGCAACAAAGCAAUUAGUUAAACUCAGGUACAGGGUGAUAUUGAGGUCAGUUUUAACCUAGGGUCUGUUUCAGCUAAGAUUAUCUAUGGCCCUGGGGAAUAUUCAAGAGCUAAACUCCUCUGCUUGUUGAUGUGCUCAACACUGGCCUGGAGACAGGUCAGCCUUCUUAUGGGAGGCCUAAAACCAAAGGCAAAAUGAGUACAAGGAUUUUUUUUUUUUUUCUUUUCCUAGUUCUCCAUUGUUUUUCUACUCUCCUUCAUCUAAUCGUCUCUGGGGCAGGGUCUUCACUCCCUACAUCCAGCCCCUCAAUAGUCCUAGCACCAGGCCGGGCGCGGUGACAUUUUCAAAAAUCCAGCACAACAUUCACACCUCAAGGAAUGUAUUAUACAGUUGGUGGCUUAGAUUAUACAAACAUAAAAUGAUUUGGGGAAUUGAAUCCUAAGGUUGAUAGUGCUCUUUGUAAGUAAAAUAAGAGCUCAGAGAAGUGAAAAGUAAGGGUGGACUGAGGUUUCCAAGAGGAAAUACGUGGCAGAGAUGGACUGGCUGUUCAUCAAACCUGUUUCAUCUUCUUCCUGGGCAAACACCUAGACCACCUUCCCAGCAAUCCCCCUUGCAGUCAGAUGUGGCCACAUUACCAAGUUCUAGCUAAUGGAAAGGGAAAAAAAAAAAACCUGAGUCACAUCUGGGCCUAGCCAAUAUAACCAGCCACUCAUGAGCCUCCACAUGCUUUUUCUUUAAAGCUAAUAUGAUCCAAAUAAGCACCGUGACCUUGGAGCCAUGCGUUGAAAAUGACAAGAGUCCUAAAAUGCCAAGUAGUUGGCUCGCUAAAACCUGAAAGAGAGGUAUCCACUAAUCAGGUCACCCAUUUGGGGCAUGUAAGAAACAACUUCUAUUGUUUUGAUUCAUGGCACCAUUUUGGUUUUGUCAAAGAAGCAGGGAUUACCUCAACUAAUAUGUUGGAACUUAAAAUACCCCUGAAUACCUGCAGAAGGAAGUGAUAAUUUGAAAAUAAGGAUUACACUCUUUUCUCUAUUGCUUUCUGCACAUACCAUCCGUACCAUAGUUGGCCAAAGGAAUUCAUGUGUUUCAGGAUAUAUUAAUAUUAUUAAAGAAAAAAUACAAAGAGAAGGAAGGAUGUAUGUUUCUUUUCUGGUAGUAUGCCAGAGUAAGUACCUGUCCAAUCAUCCAACUGAAAACAACCAAACAUGCCGGACAAAAUAUUUUCUCAAAAAUAGUUUGAAACAUAUUCAUGAGUUCACACACAAAAAAUAAGGCACACUCUGAACAGAAUGCUUAUAUUAGUUUUCACCUUGAAGGCAUUUAACAAACUGGGAGAACCUGAGCUUCUGUUUUACAACUUAGCAGGACACAGGGGAAAGCAGAUAAACUUGGUGACAUUUACAAAGGCCCACCAAGAUAGAAUGUAUAAUAAGAGGCAUCCAGCUACAGAGAGGACUUUAAACUGCCUGUCUCAAAAAUAAGUGCUAUGUAGAAAUGGAAAAGUCUUUACUAAAAAUGUGUAACCACAAGGUAGCCCUCACAAGAGUUUACAGGACAAACUGAUUACCUGUUUUGUCCCCAAAACCUCAAGUUGAGAAUUUUAAGUCCUUGCCUUUGCAGGUUGAUAAUGAUCCCAGGAACCUGACAAAAAACAAAUGCAAAUUCUAGAGAAACUCACUUUCAACUCCAACCCACUGAUAAAGAAUUCCCACUAAUAAAGUUUCCAAAAACAAAGCAAAACAAAACAGAGAGAGAGAGAGAAACAAAGCACCAUGAACAACAACCAGGGAAAACAAUAGAGAGGAGAACCAGGCCAACAAACACUUCGAACUUUAAAAUGAUCAGACACAGAACAUAAAAUACUGUUUAAAUAAAUAACAGGGAACAAGUAUAUAAGAAUUGAGCUAGAUCAGAUAGAUUAGACACAGGAAACCAGAGGGAAAAAAAAAACUGAAUAAAUUAUCUAGACUGCAGCACAUAGAAAUAUAGAGAUAGAAAAGAUGACAGAGAAGCUAAAACAUAGAAAAGACAGAACAGAGGUCUAACAUAUGCUUAAUCUCAAAUCUGGAAUUAGAUGAGAAAGAGUACAGAGCAAGAACUGCAGUCUAAGACUCUUCCAGUUCUGAUGAGAAAACCAAUCCACAAAAUGAUAAAGCCGCAAAACCCCCAAGCAAAAUAAACACAUAAAAAUAAAUUGGCAUCUGAACACUUUAUGAUAAAAUUGCCAAACACCAAAAACAAAGAAAA